rnacentral:rRNA from 1 species
AGAGUUUGAUCAUGGCUCAGAACGAACGUUGGCGGCGUGGAUUAGGCAUGCAAGUCGCGCGAAUGCCCGCAAGGGUGGAAGCGGCGUAAGGGGCAGUAAGGCAUGGGUAACCUACCCCCGGGGUCGGGAUAGCCCGUAGAGAUACGGGGUAAUACCGGGCGACAUCACACGGUGGCAUCAUGGUGUGAUCAGAGGUCCGCCGCCCGGGGAGGGGCCCAUGUGGUAUUAGCUAGUUGGUGGGGUAACGGCCCACCAAGGCGAAGAUGCCUAGCGGGUGUGAGAGCACGACCCGCGCCACGGGCACUGAGACACUGGCCAGCCACCGACGGGUGGCUGCAGUCGAGGAUCUUCGGCAAUGGGGGCAACCCUGACCGAGCGACGCCGCGUGGGCGACGAAGGCCUUCGGGUUGUAAAGCCCUGUCGAGGGGGAGGAAGCCGCAAGGUUGACCCAUCCCUGGAGGAAGCACGGGCUAAGUUCGUGCCAGCAGCCGCGGUAAUAC